rnacentral:rRNA from 1 species
GAGGACGUGAAACCGGUGAGGUGGAAACGGAUAGAGUCGGCGUAUCAUUCAAUUAUUCAGUUACAUUAUUUUUAUGUUGUGACCUCUGAGCUCCAGAUUGGGACAGAGGGAAUCAGCAUAAUUUUUUGUGGUGCAUUUACUUGAUUGGUGCUUGGGGAUGUUUGAGGCAGAUUUGUUUCCGUCGUUUUGAGGCCAGCUUGCUGGUACCCAAACGGUGUUAGCAUUUUUUGUCUUGGGCAUUUGAGUAUGGCUCACGUGUAUUUAUUGGACAGAUCUGAGUGUAAGUUACGGUCGCAUGCGACACGUGCUUUUCAAUUAGUUCGGUCCAGUUAAUGCUCUCGUACUCGUUCCCCAUGUAAAAGCCGGUCAUCUAUCCGACCCGUCUUGAAACACGGACCAAGGAGUUUAUCGUGUGCGCAAGUUUUUGGGUGUUAAAAACUUAAAAGCGAAAUGAAAGUAAAUGACUCUUUAGAGUCUGAUGUGCGAUCUUGUAAAAAAGUGUAGCAUGGCCCCAUUCUAACUGUUUACAGUAGGGUGGCGGAAGAGCGUACGCGGUGAGACCCGAAAGAUGGUGAACUAUUCCUGAGCAGGACGAAGCCAGAGGAAACUCUGGUGGAAGUCCGAAGCGGUUCUGACGUGCAAAUCGAUCGUCUGACUUGGGUAUAGGGGCGAAAGACUAAUCGAACCAUCUAGUAGCUGUUCCCUUUCCGAAA